GGGGCUGAUUCUGGAUUCGACGGGAUUUGCGAAAUCCAAGGUGCAUGCCGAGGGGCGGUUGGCCUCGUAAAAAGCCGCAAAAAAUAGUCGCAAACGACGAAAACUACGCUUUAGCAGCUUAAUAACCUGCUUAGAGCCCUCUCUCCCUAGCCUCCGCUCUUAGGACGGGGAUCAAGAGAGGUCAAACCCAAAAGAGAUCGCGUGGAAGCCCUGCCUGGGGUUGAAGCGUUAAAACUUAAUCAGGCUAGUUUGUUAGUGGCGUGUCCGUCCGCAGCUGGCAAGCGAAUGUAAAGACUGACUAAGCAUGUAGUACCGAGGAUGUAGGAAUUUCGGACGCGGGUUCAACUCCCGCCAGCUCCACCA
rnacentral:tmRNA from 2 species